GACGAACCGUGCGAACGUUGUUCGGAAUCACUGGGCGUAAAGAGCUCGUAGGCGGUUUGUCGCGUCUGCUGUGAAAACCCGAGGCUCAACCUCGGGCCUGCAGUGGGUACGGGCAGACUAGAGUGCGGUAGGGGAGAUUGGAAUUCCUGGUGUAGCGGUGGAAUGCGCAGAUAUCAGGAGGAACACCAAUGGCGAAGGCAGAUCUCUGGGCCGUAACUGACGCUGAGGAGCGAAAGCAUGGGGAGCGAACAGG
rnacentral:rRNA from 1 species